CUGUACACUGCAUGUUGUUCAGUCGAGCACAUUCCCCCCUACACCCGUGACUAGACUCGAACCAGCCGUUCUUUGAGAAACAAUGAUUAUGUACAAGCAUUCUACCAGAUACAACCUUCCCUGUAGCCUGUUCUCGGAAGCCUGCGGGAGACGACUCCACACUUUGCCCGCAGACUUAUGCAUUAGAUGUGCUAUGUGUUAAUUAAUAAACUGGAGGAUCCUGCUCGACAAGCCUUUGCUUCUUGGGACCCCCCAUCCACACUUCUUUAUUUAUUCAUGACAUAUUGUAAUGGACAGUUAUGUAGUAAACAAAGAAUGAAUGAAUGAAUGACACCCCCCCGAUCGCCAGUCACCUAAUCUCACUGAUGUCUGAGACAAUGGUGAUCCACGGGCAACCUGCUCCAUUUCUGGUCAUGCCCUGGUGAUGACACUGUUCAUCCCAGUUCAUAAAGUGGCUUGUGACUUGGCUGAAGACUGAAUGACUUGUGAUGGACUGAACUACCAAUGUGCAGCACUGAAGUACGUGUAUGACCUGUUAUUAUGAAGCACUGAUGGUCAAGACCAAACUGGAACUGAGAUCAUAUCAAGAGUUCAAGCAGUAUUUCCAUCACCUGAUCCCAAAGCCAUGAAGGACAAGCGAAUGGGAAAAGUGGUAGCCUAUACGCCAGGCCUGAAGAAUGGAAAAGGACAUGUAUGAGCCAGUAGGGUAAAUGAUGGACAGUCUUUUGUUGUGAGGAGUACCAUCACAUCUUGGCUGAGAAGAUCUACAAGAUCCAGAAGGAGCUGCGGUAGAAGCCACAGAAGAGGAAGCAGGAGGUACUGAUGCUGCCGCUGGAGGCAUCCCCAUUAAUGCAGCAGCGCUGCUGCCCCAGCCUCAGCCUCCCCACUAACUGCCCAGACCAGUAUGUCCACUGGGAAAAUGUAGCUCUUUCAACCAAUGUAUAUUAGAAUUAUGCUGUACAUAACGAAAUGUAUAUGGUCUUGAAGCGUUAUUUUGAUGUCAGUGUUGCUUUGGCUCAGCAAUGAAAAGUGGACUGGUAGAAUGGGGCGUCAGGUUGGCAUAGUGAUACUUUUGUCACCUUCCACUUCUGUGAAUCCAGCCCAGGUUAUCAUGUGGAUUUUUCAGUCUUUACUUAACUUUGUGGGUUUUUCUCUAUAAUGUUCAUGUGGAGUUUUUCCUUCCACUUCUAAAACGGAACACUGUCCUCAUAUAUUUGCAGUUGUAAUUUGAAGUUGUAGAUCGUCAUAUUUCUCAAGUGGUUACUGGCAGCCCUUUGAAAAACAUGCUGGAGAUUAUAUUGAUACCAUCAAUAAAAAAAGCGGGAGUUUUUAUAAUUUUAUUGUUGUUGAAAUUACACAGGGGAAAUGGUAUUGUUUAUGGUAGCAGGGCCAGGUUUCCUUCAGUUUAGUUCUAAAUGUGGUCAAAAUACAGACUGAUCCUUUGUGGUUCACUCAACGAAGUCUGUACACAGGUUAACAUAAAUUUGGUGUGUGAUUUCUACUUACAGUUUUAUUUCAAUUCCAAACAUCAGUAACUUUUUAAGUUAUCACUGAAUAGUCAAGACCUUUUCUUUAUUUGUAGUUUUCUGAAGGCUUUUAUUUUACUUCAUAUUUGAACAGUGAUGUCAUCCAUUGAUCAUCGUGCAAUUUUAAUGACUGCAGAUGAAUUGACUCAGAGUGUGUACAAAAUGCAGAUGUAAAACAAAAAUUGUACGAUGUAAACAACAAAUAAAAGUGUAAUGCAAACGUGAAUUUUAUGUUUUGAAACACAUUUCAUAUCUCAGUAUGUGGAAUGAAGAUGUCAAUUGUACUCAUAGUCAGUAAAUGUAACUAACUCAAGCCUAAAAUUGUAUUUGUAAUAGGAGCUUCACUCAUUAGAUGCUUCUGGAAAAUGCCAGAAAUCUUUUUUUCCGCACACAACUGUUCUUUCUUAUUAUCUUGAUCAGGACUUGAACAUAGCUUUUGCCACAAAUAAAUUACAUUGCUAAUUUGAUAGACAAACUAACAGAUAUUUACAUGUAUGUACAUAGGGUCUACUGCUUGACAAAGAGAAAACAAAUGAAAUGGUUUGUUUUGUUUUUCAAGCACACACAAAGUCUGAGUCUGUGGAGGUACACUGUGUGUUGAAUUUGAACUUGGCAGCCGUGCAUAUAUGUCCCUGUUGUAGUAUGUACCACUCCAUGGGCAUGUCCCACAUUGUUGAAAAGUAUGAGGUUGUGGUAAGAAAUGUGUGACAAAUACUCUUCAAAUGACUGGUGUAAAUCACUAUGGUAAUUGGCUGUGUUGGUGGCCAUAUCUUACCUUUUUCAAGAGCCGAAACUUUUGGCCAAAAAUUAUACUCAACUGCAAGUGGACAAGAGGAAAGGGGUGGAAGAUUUGAGAAGUAAAUUGCUAUUCAUGUUUCUUCAUUUCUACUUGUUUGAUUUUUUUAAAUAAACAGACGAUUCACUAUCCGAUUUGCCAAACUUGGUCUUGAAAGUCAGCGAUUUGAGUCUUAAGAUGGCAACACCUUGCGAUUGAAGAAUAUAAUAGAAAGCUUAAGGCUUUAGUACUGAACAGGUCCAGUCUCCCUCAGGAAACUUCUAAGUGCCUUUAGUCUAUGCAUUUGUUAUUCCAAAAUGGUCCACCAAUCAAAAAUGGGCUUGUUUAUGUGUCAGGCUUAUGUGAAAUAAAUACAAGCCUUUUGCCUUUUAGACAUUUUGGAGAAAUAUGGGUUAGAGAGUACAGAUUUGAUCUUGUAUGGCCUGUUCCACUUCACCACAGGUCAAUACAUUUGAGACAAAUCUAGGCAAUCUCUGUGUACAAACGUUUCAAAAUGAUUUUGAAUUCUAGAUGAGUACUCCAUGUACUUUUUGUAAUUCCUGUAAUCAGUGUAAAAGUCGGAGGAUUUUAUUGAAUAAAAUAAAAUGUGUGGCCUGAGACAUUAAUAA